rnacentral:rRNA from 1 species
GGCGGCAUGCCUAACACAUGCAAGUCGAACGAAGUAGCAAUACUUAGUGGCAGACGGGUGAGUAACAUGUAGGUAUCUACCCUUUGGCCUGGAAUAACACGAGGAAACUUGUGCUAAUACCGGAUAAGUCUUUACGGAGAAAGCUUUAUGCACCAUUGGAUGAGCCUGCACUUGAUUAGUUUGUUGGUGGGGUAAUGGCCUACCAAGACUGUGAUCAAUAGCUGAUUUGAGAGGAUGAUCAGCCACAUUGGGACUGAGACACGGCCCAAACUCCUACGGGAGGCAGCAGUGGGGAAUCUUGCACAAUGGAGGAAACUCUGAUGCAGCGAUGCCGCGUGAGUGAAGAAGGCCUUUGGGUUGUAAAGCUCUUUCGUCGGGGAAGAAAAUGACUGUACCCGAAUAAGAAGGUCCGGCUAACUUCGUGCCAGCAGCCGCGGUAAUACGAAGGGACCUAGCGUAGUUCGGAAUUACUGGGCUUAAAGAGUUCGUAGGUGGUUGAAAAAGUUAGUGGUGAAAUCCCA